AUGUUGCAAACUGCUCGGCACGGUGAUCGGACGACUGCUGCAUGUGCCAUCCAAUGGCUGCGAGGGCGGCCGAUCCGAUCAAAAUAUCAUCCGACCGAGGCAUGCCACUGUCCUACACUAUAUAUCAUAGCGGGUCCUAAAAUUUUGGUGGCCAAAAUUGGUAUCUCCGGGACCCCCUUCCCCUUCCCUCCCGGUCGCUCCCGCGAGCGACGCGGAGGGGAAACCCUAGCCGCCGUCGCAGGCCCCCCUCCUCCUCGACUCCUCCCUCGUCGCCGCGGGCUCGCGCUGACGGGCGAAGCCCGGUCAGCCUCGGCGGCGGCGGGGCCUUCCUUCCCCUGCUCGCUAGGGCCGACGCGGGUCGGGCGGCGGCGCGUUGGGCUCGGUGGUGCUCUAUUCCGCGUGGUUGCGCCUGGCGUGGUGGCGGCGGCCACUGGUGGAGCGCGUCGGCCCCCCUUCGGCGGGUGGCUGAUGCAGAUGCGGGGAGCGCCGUUCCUGGCCGCGUGGGCGGCGGAUCGGCGGCGAGCGUGGCUAGCUCCUGGGGCUUCCCUGUUUGCCCUUGGAGCAGAUCUGGCGAUGGUGCUUCCUCUUUGGGGGUGGUGGUCGAGGCUUUGGCACGGGAGGUGGCUGCCUGAUAUCGUCAGUGGUGUCCAUGCUCGGCCACUUGCGGUUGAAGUUUGCGCCGGCGUGCGGCGUUGGCGAUGCUCGGUGGUGCGGCUGCCUGGUGCGGUAGUCGUGCUUGUCGUCCCCUCCCGGCAACCUGUUGGUCCUGGUCAUGCGAGCUCAGGGGUGAGCGACUCUGCCUGUCGACGGUGUAGUGUCCUCCGAUCCAGGACUAGAGGGCAGGUGGCUCUCUUCGGAGGCGGAUCUGGGAUCGAUCCACACCUGCACCGGAGAGGAGCGGAUCGGAAGAGCUUUAUGGCACUCGAUCUGGGAUCCAUGUUCCUAGACCUAGCUGCUGCGGCUGCUGCGUAUGGCCGCCUCGACGAGGACGACGCCCACACGAAGCCUGACUCCAGUCAAAUCCCACAGGGUCCCCCGUCCCUGAACCCCCCUGCUUAUGGCUACCCCGACGGCGGCGGCGACCGGCCACCCUUCGUCUUCAUCGAGCCAUACGCCUACUUUGCGGACCGCUGCAACGCCACCACCGCCGGCUGCAGCAUGGAGGGUCUCCGUCUCCGGGGGGAACAUCGAGGUCACCUUCUGCACCGUCCAACCACCGCAGGUCUCCUACGGUCCUACCUCUGCGUCCACGCCACCGCCUACGACCACACCGUGUUCGCCGUCCGGCCUUCCAUAGUCACCACACAGACUAACGGCGGCCUCGUCCUCCUAUGCGUCGUGGUCGGUGACCGCCCAUCCGAUGCCAUGUUUCGCCACAAACGACACUACUUCGUCUAUGAUGCCAGCGUCCCCGAGCUCAAGCACAUCAAGCAGCCCGGCGACGAUCACCCAGUCAACGACCAGUCGUUUGCCAUUGUGCGCAAACCUGAACCUGACAGCACCUACGUCCUUGCCGCACAAGCUGGUGUGUUCGGAUACCGCGACCGUUCUGCUCGCCUCUGCCUAUAUCACUCAGGUACCAACUCCUGGAGCAAACUGCCGGUGAAUGUCGAUUCAGUCCCCUACGACAACGAGUUCACCACAUACAGGCAUUCACCAUCGGAGGAGCUGCACCGCGCGGACGUGCAACAUGAAAUACCACUCGGAGAAUGUUGGUUCAGAGUUGAGCAAACUGUAUACAUGCAUUUGGGUCUCAAGAAGCUGAUUUUCCUUCAGGUAGAGGAAGACUUCAUUCAGCGCCUCACUGAAUAUAUACUGCUUGCCGCCGAAACAAGUGAUUGUACAUAUGUGGUGAUGUGCGCGCGCAGGCUCACCCACUGCCAGUUCCGCACACCACGAUCACUCCACCACUUCAGUCCCACUGUGGCUGCCGCAAGCCAUGAUUUUGCCUGCUCCCAUAAAGCACACAACAAAGGUCUAUUGAAUUUCAAGGUGCAUCAACUCAGUAUACUUACAUUUAACAUUUUACUACCGGAGGCUGUCGUCAACAGAUUACACCGAGAACAAGCGAUGUUGAAGCCUGACGAAAUUUGCCGACAUGAGGCGCACGUGACUCGUCAGUCCGCAAGUGCAAGUGCAAGUGCAUGGCAAGUGGUGAGGUGA
rnacentral:rRNA from 1 species